rnacentral:rRNA from 1 species
CUCCUACGGGAGGCAGCAGUGGGGAAUAUUGGACAAUGGGGGAAACCCUGAUCCAGCAAUGCCGCGUGAGUGAAGAAGGCCUUAGGGUUGUAAAACUCUUUCACCCGUGAAGAUGAUGGCGGUAGCGGGAGAAGAAGCUCCGGCUAACUCCGUGCCAGCAGCCGCGGUAAGACGGAGGGGGCUAGCGUUGUUCGGAAUUACUGGGCGUAAAGCGCGCGUAGGCGGUCCGUUUAGUUAGGCGUGAAAGCCCUGGGCUCAACCCGGGAACUGCGUUUAAAACUGGCGGACUAGAGUCCGGAAGAGGGUGGCGGAAUUCCCAGUGUAGAGGUGAAAAUUCGUAGAUAUUGGGAAGAACACCAGUGGCGAAGGCGGCCACCUGGCCCGGUACUGACGCUGAGGUGCGAAAAGCGUGGGGAGCAAACAGGAUUAGAUACCC